CACACAGAGCAGCUAAGGUGACAUGGAAAAAAAACUGGUUUAGUUAAGAUAGGAAGAUCCUGGAUGCUCUUUUCCUACCACUCUAACUUCACCUUCUCUCUUCUGACAGUGUGCAUCUGUUGUUUUGGUGGUGUUUUUUUUUUUUUUUCCAUUGUACUAGUUACUGUGUUAGUAAAGCCCAAGGCAAGCUUCAGUCUAAGUCCUGCCUACUAGAGCCAGAUAAUUACUUCAAGAACUGGACAUCAAAUUCUGUUUUUCUUCCAGAGCCUGAUGUGUUCUCAUGAAAACGAGAAUAUUCAUUUCUCAAGUACCCUGCCUGGGACUUAAAGAAUGCUUUGAAAUCAGUGAUGUUACUUCAACAGAAGUAUUUAUGUGAUCCCCUUAUAAGGAUGAUCCAGAAUCUAUAGAGGCUAAACUCUGUACGGAGGAGCUUAAACUAAGAAAGCGCUUGCAAAGGCUCAUUCAGCCAUCUCAACGCUGGAUGUCUGCUCUCAGUCAGCCACUAACCGGAGAUCCAGGCUUGUCCAACUGUUGCCAUUUCACAGUGGUGAGUUCUUACACAGGCUGAGCUUGAACUGGGGAAGUAAGCCAGAGGACAUUUUCCUUCAAAAUCAUCUCAGGAAAAAGAACAAUCUCUCAGACAAUUGGGAUCAAUGGUAGCCCAGAUCUGAAGUAAUAUACAAUUCAAAGAUAACAGUCAUAAUCUCUAUUACUUAAGAAAAGCAAGAGAUUUAUUUUUUUCCAUAGAAGGAUUGAUUUGCUUCAUUGUAAAUAGGGAGGAACUGAAACAUCCAGUAUGAAUACAAAACUCUUCUGUGGUGAGUGCUUGAUUUUUAAAUUAUAUCCUGUUUUAAAUUCCAAGUCUCCUCCCUAAGUUAAAGCCUUUCCACAAGAGGCAGCAUGCAUUCGUAACAAUUUAAUUGAGUUUAUUUGAUGUUAUAAUCAUGCCAUUAGUUAAUUUAGCACAGUUCUAUGUGGGUCCUAGGAAUAAUGACACGUGCAGCUCGGUUGCUAUACUGCUCUGCAGCACAAGCCAGGAGAAACUAAAAGAAACAAGUCCCACGCAGAAAGCUUCAAGUUUUAAGGUUCUUUAAAUAAAAAGAUGUCAUUUAAAUGGCAGCUAGGAGCACGGUGGAAGGAGAUCCUAAAGUUAUCAGGUGGUGGGGUGGUACAAAGCAAAUGUUCUCUUUGCAGGGCUGGCAUCGUGUGGUGUGUUUUCUGAAGUGAACAACACCUAUGGCAUUCACUUAUGCUUGAGUUAUCAUUCCUUUCAGACCUUGCACAUCUGUUUCUGGGUCUCUCUUUGGAAGCACUGGAAAGGAAAAGCUUGAAAGAAAGCACUCUUUCACAGGUAUGUACCUGUUUGAAUCUCUGAGACACCUUUAAAAAUAGAGUGGGCAUGUCCUAUCGCAUACUGAGAAGUGAGAGAAAUGAGGGUGGGGUAAGUAUUGUCCUCCCUUGGAAGCUGAGAGAUUGAGGAAGCUCCUUCCUCAUGGCUGAACAUGCUGAGCAGCUGUGUAAAUGCUCUCUGCCCAUUUUGCUUAAAAAGAAACAGGUUUGCACUAACUCCCUUGGAUGGUGGGUGGUUUAAACUAACCUCCCAGCUGUGCACUGAAAUGAAUUAAAGGUAUAUGUACAAUUGACCAUGGUGUCUGGGCUGAAAGACCUUCCACCACAUCGCAGGCCCUCGUUCCAUCGUGCUGUGCUGUUUGCACACAGACUGCUGGUGGCUGCGCAACACAGGAGUGUGGGCCUGGGAAAGGAUCAGGAGUGCUGAGUGUGCAGUCUGCACCCAGCAUCACACCACAGCUUCCCCCAGACGGCACACUGCUGCGCGUGGAGCAGAAAUCUGCCUCUGUUUCCUAUUUUAUAGAAACUGAAAUGACCGCAGUGGAUCUGUCCCUAGCUGCUAUCCAGCAGGCCCUGCUUUAAUUUUAGAAUAUGUUUGGGACUUUCCCUUCUGAGGGUCUUCAGACCUGAUUUUCUGGGUGAGUAUUAGUAAUAAUGGUCCAAAAAAAGCCAAAAAGAAAUAUAUGAAACAUUCUAUUAAGUUUGAAAUGAAAUUCUGAAUAAGAUGUGUGUGUUCUUCACAGAAUAUUUACUUUGUAAUACAACCAUUGAUAAUAAAAAAAAAAAACUGCAGUAGUUUUCAGUAUACUUAGAUUGUCUGUUUUCUUCCUUUAUUUUCCUAAUUUUUGCAAUAUUUUUCCUAGUUUCAAAGGAAAGGGUUGAAACUGUAGAGCUCUGGGAGUUGUCCCAUUUGCCACAUGUUGUGUAUGUGUGCAUUUUAUAUAUAUAUAUAUAUAUAU
rnacentral:lncRNA from 1 species